AGAGUUUGAUCCUGGCUCAGGAUGAACGCUGACAGAAUGCUUAACACAUGCAAGUCUACUUGAUCCUUCGGGUGAAGGUGGCGGACGGGUGAGUAACGCGUAAAGAACUUGCCUUACAGACUGGGACAACAUUUGGAAACGAAUGCUAAUACCGGAUAUUAUGACUGAGUCGCAUGAUUUGGUUAUGAAAGCUAUAUGCGCUGUGAGAGAGCUUUGCGUCCCAUUAGUUAGUUGGUGAGGUAACGGCUCACCAAGACGAUGAUGGGUAGCCGGCCUGAGAGGGUGAACGGCCACAAGGGGACUGAGACACGGCCCUUACUCCUACGGGAGGCAGCAGUGGGGAAUAUUGGACAAUGGACCAAAAGUCUGAUCCAGCAAUUCUGUGUGCACGAUGAAGUUUUUCGGAAUGUAAAGUGCUUUCAGUUGGGAAGAAGUCAGUGACGGUACCAACAGAAGAAGCGACGGCUAAAUACGUGCCAGCAGCCGCGGUAAUACGUAUGUCGCAAGCGUUAUCCGGAUUUAUUGGGCGUAAAGCGCGUCUAGGCGGUUUAGUAAGUCUGAUGUGAAAAUGCGGGGCUCAACCCCGUAUUGCGUUGGAAACUGCUAAACUAGAGUACUGGAGAGGUAGGCGGAACUACAAGUGUAGAGGUGAAAUUCGUAGAUAUUUGUAGGAAUGCCGAUGGGGAAGCCAGCCUACUGGACAGAUACUGACGCUAAAGCGCGAAAGCGUGGGUAGCAAACAGGAUUAGAUACCCUGGUAGUCCACGCCGUAAACGAUGAUUACUAGGUGUUGGGGGUCGAACCUCAGCGCCCAAGCUAACGCGAUAAGUAAUCCGCCUGGGGAGUACGUACGCAAGUAUGAAACUCAAAGGAAUUGACGGGGACCCGCACAAGCGGUGGAGCAUGUGGUUUA
rnacentral:rRNA from 2 species